UCCGCGCACAGAAAAUCUGCGCUGUGCACAAAAAAAAAAUCCAACCUAAAUUGUAAAUAAAAUAAACACGUAACAAUUCAUUCUGUGCUAUUUUUCAGUGUGAGUCAGUGAGUGACCGGUGACUGGCUGCUGCAGCCAAUGAUGCGAUUCACAUACGUAUUUACCAUAGACUGUAUAUAAUGAUAUUUACGCAGCUAAUCAACGUCAGGCGUCCUUAUGUGCAGCCACCGUUGUUCUCAUAGAUAUGAAUGAGUAGAUAGGACACGCCCCUUUGAGCUGCGUGCUACAGCGAGGCUAAGCUAGUGGGGGAAAAGUUUCAGUUCAUUCCGUUGAUGUAGACGUGUGAAAAUGGAAACAAGAAGUAUGCCGGCUCACUGUGCUGCAUACAAUUACACACUACGUCGUACGAUUGAGACAAGGAAACCUGGAAUGACUUUUCAUAGGUUUCCCAAAGACUAUGGGUUGAGGAGGAAUUGGAAGUUUGUCGGCUUAGACCUGGUGUCAUUCCAUCAGUGUUAACCUUCCCGGCUUAUCUUGGAAGAGUACAUGUCAGAAAGACCACGACCAAGCAGCCUUGAGAUCUUAGGCAGCGUCUCUCUGAGACCAAAGAACUACAGACUCUUCACAACCUGCUCAAACUCUUGGUACAGGACCUCACCACACGGGUCAAGAAGGUUUCUGUCUCAUUUCUACUCUGAAGCUCACCUUCUCCUGCUCAAACUGCUGACAAAUGUUUCUGCUGCUCUAAAGUCUGGUCUCCAGAACUUCCUAAAAACUGUCAAAGUCUCUUCUGCUGCAGGUUGCUUUGUAGAACUGUUGCAGAAAACCUCACUAAACCACAUGGAGGGGCCUCAAGAUAGUCGUCCAAAUGAAACGGUACAAAAACCAAACUAGCACAACCCAAACGCUAAAGUCUCCUGCACCCUACCAGAGAACCUCUGAGAACAGAGAAUCAGGACAGGAACUCUUACCUUCUGGACAAUCAACAUCGGUUCUCAAACAAGAACACAGAAUGUGUCUGACCAAAAACCUCUAAUGACUCACUACAGCCAAGAUAAAGACACAACUCAACUGUACCAAAUCCACUAAUCACUGCACACAUUAGCACCAUGUGCUAACUGUGGCUAAAGAACCACAUUUACCAAGACAACUAUCCAGUACAAAGCCCUAAAACACACCAAGAAACACAUUAAAGACGAUUUUACUGCUGGAAGCUGCAAGCCAACGCCUAAAGAACAAACUAAAGCAAUGGAACCAAACCCAGUUCACUGGUGAAGAGAAACAGAGGAAAUGUUUGUCUGCAGCUAAAUAAAGCAGGAAGACACUGAGCUGCUCAGGUGUUCCUGAUAACACUGAGCUGCUCAGGUGUUCCUGAUAACACCAAGCAGCCACCUGGACAGCCAAUAGGAACACAGCUUACUGGAAGUCCAGAGGGCUGGGUUAGUGAAGGAAAUUUAAUUUAAAGUUGAAGCAGAAAGUUAACAAAGAAAGUUGAAAACCACCUUCUGAUACCUGAAAUCUCUGAGUUUUCACACAAAGAACACCUGAACAUGUCAAACUGGUUCCAUAGUAGAACCAUCAUUGUAAAAACGUCAUAGUAUGGUGUGUUGCUCAAAAAACAUUAGGACCCGGCUGUCAGGAGACAAACAUGUAAGAAACAUGAGAACAGAGAGAACCCAACCAGUAGGUCACAGUUUAUCAUCCCCCAGUCAUCUCCUGAAGUCCAUAUGGUGAGAGACAUCAGUAUCUGGUUGUUCAUUUACCAGAGGAUGCUUAUAAUCAUGCUGAUGUGGUCUGUACUCUACAGUAUUUUAGUUACUCAAUAAAUGCCUAAGUUGUUUUUUUUUUAAAUGCUUUUUAGUUUUUAAUAAACAUUUAAUAGCCUAUAUGUAAUCAAUAAGUGGCCUUUGCCUAUCUUAAGAAAAAUUCACUCAGAACUCUGAUAUGUUAACAGUACUAAAUAAAUCAAUAAAUACAUGCAUACACACAAAAAUAAGUUAAUACAUUAACUGUGUUAAGAUAAGAUUUAGAUUUUAAAAAAAGUUGUUUAUGUUUUUGCAGAAUCCAGUAUUACUCACUGGUUGGUCAUUACAUUUUAUUAGUUUGAUUUCACUGUUUAAAAUGAUGCCACCUCUUUUCAGACAGAACCUGUGAUAAUAAAACAAUACUAAAUUUUUAGUUCUGUGUUAAUAAAGCACUUAAAGCUUUAAGUAUGGCUAAAUGUUUUUUUCAAAAUUAAAUAUAUCACUCCUUAGGUGGUAGUGGCCCCAAGUUCAAUAAAGUUGGAAAGAUAUUCACAGAUUCGGACUUCCAGCAUCAAUAACUCAUUAGAUAUAGGUUGUCAAAACAUAAACGGUGCCUCUUUCCCAUUGUUGCAAGGCAGACAAUGUGCUACAAGCCCAGUUUUAUCAAAAGUAGCUGUCUUUCAAGCUACAGGAAUAACAUUGGUGUCUAUGGAGUGAACAGGGUCCGUCUGCAAUUUGCAAAACCGCUGCAACAGUAAAGAGAGACAAUUAUUCAACAACUUCACUCUUAUACAUUGUAGUGUCACUAAAAUCACUGCAGCCUUCAACUGGCUCCUGUUGACAAAGUGUUUUAACAGAAAUGUAAAUGCUGUAAUUUGAUUCUUUUAAUGAACCAUGUAACUUGAAUGGAUGCGAUGCUGGUGUGACCACAGUGCACACGUCUGAUGUUGCUCACAGUGGUCCAAGGGACGCUCAGGGAGUUUGUGUGUUUGCUCAGACUCAUGAAAAAUUAGAGGGAACAUUGGUUGUAUCUGAUGUUCAGGCUGUAUGUGUUUGGUAUGUCAAUAUCCUCAUUUAGACUGUAAUGAAUAUGGUUUACAAAUGGGUAUAAAUAGAAAAAUAAAGACAUUCACU